rnacentral:lncRNA from 1 species
GUAUAUUUGAUAAUGUGUAUCCUCCCUUCACUAAACGGUUUAUAACAGUGGUACUCAAGCCUGUUGUUUUAACAUACUGAUGAGUUGUACAGCAUUUUCAAAGUGACUUACUACCAAGAGGCUGAACUGAGAUAGUCCUUCUUCCUUCUUCCAGGAGAGGAAGGGUAUUCCCGUUCAUCCCAGUAAUGCUAAUCGAGGAAAUGGUCCUCGAGGAAAUGACGCUGCAGCAACAGCAUCACCUGGGGACUUGUUAGCAACAGAAGUUCUCAGACUCCGCCAUAGAACUACUGAAUCAGAAAUUCUGGAAUAAGGCCCAGCAUUCCAUGUUCUAACAAACCUUCCAGGUGACUGUAAUGUACAUUCAAGUUUAAGAACCACUGUAAUAGACCCAUUUCUUGGUUGAUUAAAUGGAUCUUAUAUUGUAAAUAAGCAGAAUAGUCAAAUGUUCCUUCACACAAUAGGCUAGGGCUGCUAUUUGACAGGAUCAUGGUCGUUUUAACAGGAGGAAUAUGAUGAAUCUGAAAAAUGGAAACAAUAUUUGCAAUGGCAGUUGUGUGUCCCUAUGCAACAUGAGGUGGGGAGGCCUUGAGGAUUCCACUGAUGGAAAGAAUUGAGCUGAAAUCUGAGCACCUGCCAUCCUCUUCCUCCUCUCCCCUCCCAACAUCUGCAUGGAACCACAGCCCUCCCCUCUUUCCUUUGGAGCCAGUGAAGCAUGGAAAGGGGAAAGUCAUUCCCAGCAUCCACCAAGGUUUAGAGGUAGUGUCAUAAGCAAACAUCUAUACCAGCAAGUUCUCCAGUAAGGAGGGGCAGAGGCAGCGUGUGGGCCACACACUGAGUUUGAAAAGUAGCAGAGUUUGAAAAGGAGUUAAGGAGUUAUGGGCAAGAGAUUAGGUGGCCAGUGGGAGGAGAUUGAGAAUAAAGCAAACCAGAAACCCUCAAAGACCUGAGGCAUGUGGCUUGAAGAGCAGGUGAGAAGUUUUUGCCUGCCCAUGCAGUUAAAUGUCGCAAAUCCCAGUUCAUUCUAAUUGAUGCAGCUUUAGGAAUGAUUUUACAGUAAAAACCCACUGCUUAGAAUGUCAUUUUAGUUCAUUCUGGGAAGACAGGUGAAGUGGCACUCCAUCCUGGAAAGACAGCUCUGCUUUCUGAUCAGGUAGGACUUUCUCACUCUCUCUCACACUUCAAGUUGAAAAUUCAACAGCCAACUAAACCAAACAGCCCGCAGACAGUUGCCUCUGACUGACCAUUGUCAACAGCAAUGUCUCUUUGUUCUCUGUGAAGUAAGUGGAAUAAAUG